rnacentral:rRNA from 1 species
GGAACCUGCCUCAUACAGGGGGAUAACAGUUGGAAACGGCUGCUAAUACCGCAUAAGCGCACAGUACCGCAUGGUACCGUGUGAAAAACUCCGGUGGUAUGAGAUGGACCCGCGUCUGAUUAGCUAGUUGGUGGGGUAACGGCCUACCAAGGCGACGAUCAGUAGCCGACCUGAGAGGGUGACCGGCCACAUUGGGACUGAGACACGGCCCAA